UACGUAGGGUCCGAGCGUUGUCCGGAGUUACUGGGCGUAAAGGGCGCGCAGGCGGCGGUGCUGGCCCGGCGUGAAAGCCCCCGGCUCAACCGGGGAGGGGCGUCGGGGACCGCACCGCUUGAGGGCGGUAGGGGCCGGUGGAAUGCCUGGUGUAGUGGUGAAAUGCGUAGAUAUCUGGAGGAACACCGGUGGCGAAGGCGGCAUCCUGGACCAACACUGACGCUGAUGAGCGAAAGCCAGGGGAGCAAACGGG
rnacentral:rRNA from 1 species